UACGAAGGGGGCUAGCGUUGCUCGGAAUCACUGGGCGUAAAGCGCACGUAGGCGGAUUGUUAAGUCGGGGGUGAAAUCCUGGAGCUCAACUCCGGAACUGCCUUCGAUACUGGCGAUCUUGAGUCCGGGAGAGGUGAGUGGAACUCCGAGUGUAGAGGUGAAAUUCGUAGAUAUUCGGAAGAACACCAGUGGCGAAGGCGGCUCACUGGCCCGGUACUGACGCUGAGGUGCGAAAGCGUGGGGGAGCAAACAGG
rnacentral:rRNA from 1 species